rnacentral:lncRNA from 1 species
CCCGAGUAGCUGGGACUACAAGUGCCCGCCACCUCGCCCGGCUAAUUUUUUGUAUUUUUAGUAGAGAUGGGGUUUCACUGUGUUAGCCAGGAUGGUCUCGAUCUCCUGACCUCGUGAUCUGCCUGCUUCAGCCUCCCAAAGUGCCGGGAUUACAGACGUGAGGCACCGCGCCUGGCCGCAUCAUCUUUAUUAAAUUUUUUAUUUGUUCCUUCGUAACAGCGUUUUGCCCUGUCAACUGUUUGUUAGAAGAUUUCCCUUAAGAGAAAAUUGAGUUUCAUAUCCAUGCUCAUAGAUCACAGUCUGAAUACAACUUGCUGCACUCCGCUUGACAGACUUCUCAGCAGAGAGGAAAUAGAGAAAGAAAAUCGCCUGGGCCCUCUCUCCACCUUCUUCAGUCAACCCAACCUUAAUUAAUACUAGGACAAUUGACAGCCCUCGUCACUCCAAGUGAGAUUAAUGUGUUAGAAGUUUCGGGUUAUAUGGUGCCGUAUGUAAGUCCUGCUUGGUUGUUAAUGGUGACUGUUCUCUGUGCUGCUUCUUGUGUAAUAUAGGCUCACCAGGGCUGCUCUUCAUCUGCAUCUCUCCAACUGCUUUUCUGCAAUAUGGUGAAUUAAACCAAUUCAGCUAGUUAAGUAAAGCAGGCCAUUUAGGUUCAUGAGUCCAAGCUUGGUCUCCAAUCCAGGAGGAAAAAAUAUAUACUAGCUGAAUUAUCUCCUAGAUGCUUGAUUUAUCAUUUGGUUCAGAAUUUGGAAGGACAUAUAUCAUGUUUCUUUUAAAUUUUGAAACUCUUAAUAGCAUAGAUAAUCUCUUUCAUUGACUGAAAGAGGUGAAAGGGAGCUGGGGAUACAAGAGGCUAAAUUACAAAACCUUAUGAGAACUCUCAACAACCAUUUUUAAACUCCUGAAUUCAAGGAUAAUUAUUUUGGGUUGAGAAUAUGUUUGAUCUCUUCCAUGAAAAAUGGGAUACAGUUUUGAGGUGUCUCUCAGAAUUUUUUUGUUUUCACUUUUGGAUUGGCCUUCACUUUAGUAAUUAAGUGAGGAGGUGAUACAACUAACAAAGAAAUACUCAAAUAUCCUCAGGGAGAAAUGUAGGUAUAGUGCUUGUCAGUAACACUAUGCCUAUGGAACAUGUGUCUCAAAGUAACGAAUAUAAGACCUGAGACACUGGUAAACUUUGUGAUUCCUGUUCAGAUAAAGUUGUAGGUCACAAUUAUGUAAUCUAUAAAUAUUAAGAAGGAUAAUAAGUAUGGACUAGCAAAGUGUAUACGUGAUAAAAAGAAAUGAAAUAGGAUUAUUGGAGCUGAUUAAAUUAAUCCAGAGAAUCUUUUUGGCAAAGACAAGUUUGGCAUAGGAAUUUUAGGGAAGAGUGGCUAUAACUGCCGCAGGGAUGGGUUAAAAAAUCUGAAGGAAACAAACUGUCUAAGAACAGAAUAACACAUUCGAUCCUUGUCUGUGGAAUAAUAGAGGUUAAAAUACAAGGAGCUUAUAUGCAGCUUACAUAAAUGUGUGUUGAAUUGAUAAGCAGCCUUAAUCUGCUCUCUGCAGAGACUAAAUAAUAAAUCGUUAAAAUUUACUAUGAUAAAUUUGCAUCAAAAUAAUUAAAAUGGUAUAUGUUAAAUUCUUAUAUAUAA